rnacentral:rRNA from 1 species
GGACUUACUCUUCGGAGUGAGAGCGUACACAGGUGCUGCAUGGCUGUCGUCAGCUCGUGUCGUGAGAUGUUGGGUUAAGUCCCGCAACGAGCGCAACCCUGCAUUCAGUUGCCAUCGGUAAGGCCGGGCACUCUGGAUGGACUGCCGGCGACAAGCCGGAGGAAGUGGGGACGACGUCAAGUCAUCAUGGCCCUUAUGUCCAGGGCGACACACGUGCUACAAUGGCCGGCACAACGGGAAGCGAAGGGGCGACCCUGAGCGGAUCCCACAAAAGCCGGUCUCAGUUCGGAUUGCAGUCUGCAACUCGACUGCAUGAAGUUGGAAUCGCUAGUAAUCGUGGAUCAGCCAAGCCGCGGUGAAUACGUUCCCGGGCCUU